UGCAAUAUCCGGUCUGCAGUAGCCCUUUCUUCCUUAGAUCCGGUGCCAUAGAACGCAGCAACAGUAGCAUCGAGUAAAGAAACAUCAAUCGGCUGGCUUAAAUCUCUAAGCUUCUCGGCGGCCAUAGCCAAAGACGCCAUUGAAUCGAAAAGACACAGACUCCAGCACCAAUAAACCCUAGCAAUGAAAGAGUACCCAAACCCUAAGAGAGAGAGAGAGAGCGAAAUUUCUAGAGAGAGAGGGGGGAAAGUGAGGGUUUAUAUGCUGUUGUUGAGAAGUAUAAACAGUUUAGAG
rnacentral:misc_RNA from 1 species